rnacentral:rRNA from 1 species
AUUGAACGCUGGCGGCAGGCUUAACACAUGCAAGUCGAGCGGAGAGAGGUAGCUUGCUACUGAUCUUAGCGGCGGACGGGUGAGUAAUGCUUAGGAAUCUGCCUAUUAGUGGGGGGCAACAUUUCGAAAGGAAUGCUAAUACCGCAUACGUCCUACGGGAGAAAGCAGGGGAUCUUCGGACCUUGCGCUAAUAGGUGAGCCUAAGUCGGAUUAGCUAGUUGGUGGGGUAAAGGCCUACCAAGGCGACGAUCUGUAGCGGGUCUGAGAGGAUGAUCCGCCACACUGGGACUGAGACACGGCCCAGACUCCUACGGGAGGCAGCAGUGGGGAAUAUUGGAAAAUGGGCGGAAGCCUGAUCCAGCCAUGCCGCGUGUGUGAAGAAGGCCUUAUGGUUGUAAAGCACUUUAAGCGAGGAGGAGGCUACUUUAGUUAAUACCUAGAGAUAGUGGACGUUACUCGCAGAAUAAGCACCGGCUAACUCUGUGCCAGCCGCCGCAGUAAAAC